UACGGGGGGAGCAAGCGUUGUUCGGAAUUAUUGGGCGUAAAGGGCGCGUAGGCGGUGCGGUAAGUCUCUUGUGAAAUCUCCGGGCUCAACUCGGAGCCUGCAAGGGAAACUGCCGUGCUUGAGUGUGGGAGAGGUGAGUGGAAUUCCCGGUGUAGCGGUGAAAUGCGUAGAUAUCGAGAGGAACACCUGCGGCGAAGGCGGGUUGCUGGGCUGACACUGACGCUGAGGCGCGAAAGCUAGGGGAGCGAACGGG
rnacentral:rRNA from 1 species